AAUAAAUAAGUUAAUUAGCUUAGGAAAAGCAUAUGUUUUGAAAACAUAAAACUAGAAGUUUAACUCUUCUAUUAACUU
rnacentral:tRNA from 1 species